rnacentral:rRNA from 1 species
GACGAACGCUGGCGGCGUGCCUAACACAUGCAAGUCGCACGAGUCCACUCCUUCGGGAGUGAGGCGAGUGGCGGACGGGUGAGUAACACGUGAGCAAUCUGUCCCGCUGCGGGGGAUAACCGGGAAACUCGGGCUAAUACCGCAUGGUCGGCUUCCAGGAUCUGGGAGCCGGGAAAGGUGGCCUCUUUACAAUGCUACCGUGACGGGAGGAGCUCGCGGGCUAUCAGCUAGUUGGUGCGGUCACGGCGCACCAAGGCAACGACGGCUACGGGGUCUGAGAGGACGACCCCGCACAUUGGAACUGAGACACGGUCCAGACUCCUACGGGAGGCAGCAGUGGGAAUCUUGCGCAAUGGGCGAAAGCCUGACGCAGCGACGCCGCGUGAGGGAUGACGGCCUGU